GAGCAAUCUGCCCUUCUCAUCGGAAAUAAGCGUUGGAAACGACGUCUAAUGCCGAAUACGACCUCCUUUCGCAUGAUCGGAGGUGGAAAGCUCCGNGNGAGAG
rnacentral:rRNA from 1 species